UACGUAGGGUGCGAGCGUUGUCCGGAAUUAUUGGGCGUAAAGAGCUCGUAGGCGGUUUGUCACGUCUGCUGUGAAAUCCCGAGGCUCAACCUCGGGCCUGCAGUGGGUACGGGCAGACUGGAGUGCGGUAGGGGAGAAUGGAAUUCCUGGUGUAGCGGUGGAAUGCGCAGAUAUCAGGAGGAACACCGAUGGCGAAGGCGGCACUCUGGGCCGGUACUGACGCUGAGGAGCGAAAGCGUGGGGAGCGAACAGG
rnacentral:rRNA from 1 species